GGUUCCAUGGCGUAGCAGUUAGCACGUCUGCUUUACACGCAGUAGGUCUUGGGUUCAUUCCCCAGUGGAGCCA
rnacentral:tRNA from 1 species